GUGACGAGUCACAUGCUGCGGAAGUAGGAGAUUGUGCAGUGUUGUUGUGUUUACGUGCCUCAAGCGGGCUACUCGAAAACACACGCCGCUCACUUCAUUUACGUUGAGUGUUUAUUUUGUCAUUUUUUCUCAGCCGUAUGAUUGCAGUAUGUAUUAAUAACUACGCGGUUUCCCCCCCGGCGUGUAAUUGGAGGUGGACUAUUGUGUAUUUGCUACAUUUCGUCGUAGGAGCAGUCUUUUGUGCCAGAUAUGAAGCGUCUGUUUUUACUAGCUUCGUAACAUCACUUCCGCCCAAAAGUUCGUGUUCUAUCGUUUAUGUUAGUUGAUUUCUGCCGCGGGAUAUUUGUCGAAAAUAUCUAAAUUACAAUGAAGCAGGACGGCGACGCCGCCAGUGUCCCAGCGUGCUUCAUAUCUGACCACGAGGGUUUUCUCGGAAACAUUAAAAAGUUCAUCCGAGACUUCGUGGUGACGGAAAUCGACGUCAAUGGACGGCGAGUGAAUUCAGGAGCACCCACGCAGGCUCCUCACUCCUCGGAGAACUCCGGUGGGAGAUGUAAGCAGGAUCAGAACCUCCCGGGGUCGGAGGACGGGGACUUCUCCGCCGACUGUCGGUUCGAUUUCACCGUGUCGAGUCCAGACAGCUUAGACCUGAGUAUGGUUUUGGGUCAGGCGGUGAGCGAACAGCUCGAGCAGUUUGUGUACCAGCGAGCCAACGUCCACCGGGCCGUGCGACACCGCUUCCCCUUCCUCAUGACCGUCACCAUCCAGCCCGAGAUCAGGGUGAGGGAGGACCCGGACUACAGGGAGCUCUCCCAGUUGGUCACCGAGGAGGAGGCGGAGGACUUCUUCAGGUUCAUCGACGCCAAAGUCCAAGACUCGUCCUACACGUUCCACCCCGAGGACAGCAAGGAGCACCGCACGGCCGUGCACCAUUUCCUCAACCGCCGGUUCGGGAAACUGGUCGAGACCAAGAGCUUCACCGAACAGGAGAGGACGGCCAUCUCGGUGCGACUGAGGGAGAGGGGCAGACCCAAGAAAAGGAGCGCCGAGGAGCGCAGGGAGGAGGACGUCUACACAGCUUUCACGCUGUGUAAGGAGAACUUGGAGACUCUGGAGGCCAUCAGCUACAUGGCAGCGACGCUCGGAGUCUUGCCGUCGGACUUCACCUAUGCCGGGAUCAAGGACAAGCGGGCGGUCACCUACCAGUCCAUGGUGGUCAAGAAGGUCUCGCCACAACGUUUGAUGGAGAAAAGGGCAGCGUUUGAGAAGCGAGGGAUGCGCCUCUCCCACAUCCGCCCCGCGGCCGAGCCGCUGAAGCUGGGCCGCCUACAAGGAAACCACUUCGACCUGGUGGUCCGCAACCUGAGGUCGCACGGCGCCGGCGACGUGCGCUCGGGCGCUGAGACGAAACAUCGACUCGCCGGAUUAGUGGAGGAAGCGCUGGAGAACGUCAAGGUGCGAGGUUUUGUCAACUACUACGGGCCGCAGCGCUUCGGAAUUGGCCAGAGUGUUCAGUCUGACCAAGUUGGGCUGGCUUUACUCAAAGAAGACAUGGUGAACGCCGUCCGUUUGUUCUUCAGUCCCGAGGACGGCGAUGAUCCUCCGAGCCAGGCCAAGCGACACUUCCUUCAGACGGAUAACGCGAAGGAGUCCUUGGCGUUAAUGCCCGCGUCCAAAGCCAGGGAACGGCUCAUGCUGCGCGCCCUGAACCGUUACGGCACCGGCCCGGACGGCUGCGCCAAGGCCUGGCUCAGCCUUCCGCACGGCAUGAGAGUCUUCUACCCACACGCCUACUGCAGCAGAAUUUGGAACGAGGCGGUCGCACACAGAUUGGUCACCCUGGGUCACGACGUACGAAAGGGAGACCUCGUGUGGAUGCAGGAAGCGGAAAAAAUGGAUGGCUGUGGAGAAUCCAGACCAGCUCAGAUCCACGUGGUGACGGAACAAGAAGAACGACAGGGAGUCUACGCUCUGACCCAGGUGUUGCUGCCGAUGCCGGGAAACACGGUCAAGUACCCCGAGAACGCCACGGGCACGUGGUACCGCGAGAGACUGGCCAGAGACGGUCUGGGCGACUGCCGCUUCCGAGUGGGCGGCCUCAAGCUGAACCUGCCGGGCUGCUACCGCCCGUUACUGGCCAACCUGUGCAACCUUAGCUACCAGCUCCUGACCAAUGAGGAAGGAGGAGGAGAGGCAACGGGAAACUGCAGCAGGAAGAGCGACGGACACUCGAAGGUCUCGGCGGAGCACGCCAAGCAGGAAUCGCUCACGCUGACCUUAAACUUCGACCUGGACUCCUCGUGUUAUGCCACCAUCUGCCUCAGAGAGAUCAUGAAGUGUGAUCCCUAAAUGUUUGUACACGACCCCAACCCCUCUCCCCAAAUGGCAUCGUUUGUACUCGUCAGUCAGUAUUUUGGUUAGUAGUGUGCUUAGCUCGUGUUUGUACUUUGUGGCAUAAAUGAUCAAAUAUAGACUUGAAAAAGAUGCCUUUUCAUUCAGAGGCAAGUGCGGAUUUAAUCGCAACGGGGGCCAGAGGUUGAAGACUUUCCUUGGGUUACAGUAACUCGGGUCUUAAUUAAUUUACAAACUUCCAUCCAUCAAUUUUCUUCCGCUUCUCGGGUCAGGUCGCGGGGGAAGUAGCUUCAGCAGUGAUACCCAGACUUCCCUUUCCCCAGCCACUUCCUUCCAGCUUUUCCGGAGGGAUCCCGAGGCGUUCCCAAGCCAGUCGGGAGACUUAGUCUCCCCAGCGUGUCCUGGGUCGUCCUCGGGGUCUCUUUCUGGUGGGACAUGCCCAGAACACCUCACCAGCGAGGCAUCCGGAUCAGAUGUCCCGCCUACCUCAUCUGGCUCCUCUCAAAGCGGAGUAGCAGCAGCUCGACACUGAGCCCCUCCCUGAUGACCGAGCUUCUCUCCCGAUGUCUAAGGGAGAUCCUGGACACCCUGCGGCGGAAACUCAUUUCGGCCGCUUGUAUCCGGGAUCUUGUUCUUUCGGUGUCGACCAACAGCCCGUGCCCAUAAGUGAGGGUAGGAACGUAGAACAACUAGUAAAUUGAGAGCUCCACCUUUCGACUUAGCGCCUUCUUUACCACAACGGACCGAUACAAAGUCCGCUGCACCGAUUCGUCCGUCGAUCUCCCGCUCCAUUCUUCCCUCACUCGUGAACAAGACGCCGAGAUACUGGAACUCCUCAACCUGGGGCGGGAUCUCAUCCCCGAAACAAACAAACUCAAACUCAAAAAUGCAAAAUGCAUGACUUGGUCUCGUGGAGACUUGAUUCACAACGACGGCAGCGUGAUAAAAUUAUUGGCAGGGUUGAGGAAGAGGAUAGCACAGUUUUUUUUAAAUAAUAUAAAAAAAAAACUUUUCAUGGUGACCAAUAAGCGUAGCCGACCUUAGCUAAAGGCGGACGCUAUUAUCCGUAGCGCUGCUGUCAGUGUCAGUCGAAAGAGUGCCGUGGAGACUGACACCAGCGAUACUUUUCAUCAUGAAUACGAGUAUUAAAUUAAUCACAAUCGAUAUUCUAUUGAGAUUAAUUCCAGUACAAAUAUUGGGAUGAUUUUCUUGUCGAAUAAUAAUGCUCAUGAAUGAUUUUCAUGCCAUAAUCUAGCUCAGGAAAUAGAAUUCUCUCAUAUUCACGGUUAUUAGUUGAUAUUUGGUGAUAAAUAUUCAAGCGGACAUUGGGAAUGUGUAAAUGUUACUGUGUGGUGUUUACAUAAUUCACCCGCGGGACCUCGAGUUGGGGUGCGGGGUUCCGCACGGAUUGUUUUUGUUGUUGCGCUUCCGGAGGAAAAGGUUAACAGAGUUCCCGCCGUUAUGCGAGUUUUUUUGGUGAUGUCGAACAAUAAAGCAAGUUCUGUUUCUGUGUCCGACACUCCGCCUCCGACUCCUUUUCUCCGGCGCUACAACUGGCUUCUUGUUACAGGUUUCUGUAAUAAUGAGUUGGUUUUUUUUUUGAUUGAAAUCCGAGGACAAGGAAUACAGUGAGCGGCUACUAUAGAGGACAACAUAGAUAACACAGACAAGGGAACCAUCCCAUAACACCGGGGAGAGCCACGAAAUCGCUGUCGCCGCACAGGUCGGCGUGGUUGUUUUGGGAGUAUCAAGAUGGCGACUUCAGUUUUGGUGGCGUGGAUCCGGAUAGUUAGAGGUGGCGUGAAGGCAGGAAAUAAUCGUGAAUCUCGAGCCUCUCGACAAUCUCAUUACACCCUUUUCGGCGAACAUCGCUUCCAGAUGUCUGGACUUUUCCUCAACUUGCAACUGACGUAAAAACUGGAGAACUGCGAGGAGACGACGGGGAACAACAUGGCGCUUUUUUGGGUCAAGUUUAGUACCCACAGAUCAGAAAAAUUCUCUCUGAAAUGUGGUCGGCGGCGGGAGGGACUACGGACUAGAGCCCCCCAAAAAGUGGGUGUCCAGGAUCAAAGGCGAAGAACAAGAGCCUAGAACUAUUCCCAAGGUUGAAG